rnacentral:rRNA from 1 species
GUCUAUGGCCAUUCCUUCCUGAAUGGGCCUGGUCUCAUCUGAUCUUGGAAACUAGGUAGGAUUGGCCUGGCUAAUACUUGAAUGGGAGAAAUACUUCAAGCAGAUGACAUAUAAU